CCGGCGCACGGUGAGUAACACGUAUCCAACCUGCCGUCUACUCUUGGCCAGCCUUCUGAAAGGAAGAUUAAUCCAGGAUGGGAUCAUGAGUUCACAUGUCCGCAUGAUUAAAGGUAUUUUCCGGUAGACGAUGGGGAUGCGUUCCAUUAGAUAGUAGGCGGGGUAACGGCCCACCUAGUCAACGAUGGAUAGGGGUUCUGAGAGGAAGGUCCCCCACAUUGGAACUGAGACACGGUCCAA
rnacentral:rRNA from 1 species